rnacentral:piRNA from 1 species
UCAACUACAGUGUCUGAAAGGUACCCGAGC